GACGAACGCUGGCGGCGUGCUUAACACAUGCAAGUCGAACGGAAAGGCCCGGCGUUUGUGGGGUGCUCGAGUGGCGAACGGGUGAGUAACACGUGAGUAACAUGCCCUUGACUGUGGGAGAACAUCAGGAAACUGGGGCUAAUACCGGAGAGGAGCUCCUGCUGCAUGGUGGGGGUUGGAAAGUGUCGGCGGUGGGGGAUGGACUCGCGGCUUAUCAGCUUGUUGGUGGGGUAGUGGCUUACCAAGGCUUUGACGGGUAGCCGGCCUGAGAGGGUGACCGGCCACAUUGGGACUGAGAUACGGCCCAGACUCCUACGGGAGGCAGCAGUGGGGAAUCUUGCACAAUGGGCGGAAGCCUGAUGCAGCAACGCCGCGUGCGGGAUGACGGCCUUCGGGUUGUAAACCGCUUUCGCCUGUGACGAAGCGUGAGUGACGGUAAUGGGUCAAGAAGCACCGGCUAACUACGUG
rnacentral:rRNA from 1 species